AUACUCUGGUUUCUCUUCAGAUAAUAUAAAUCUUUCACCUUUUACUAAAGAUUUCCGUGGAGAGGAACAAUUCUAAGUCAUAAACUAAUAUUUUGAGGCCUUGUGCUUGCAAGGCU